AUGUAUGAAAAUGGACAGCAUCAUGCCAAAGACCAUAGCAGCGAACGAUGGCAUCAGCAGGCCCUGCAGGCAGGAUUCUCUGCAGACCCAGCCAACCUCCAACAAACCCCUUUUUAUCCUCCUGUUUCUAGGAAGAAUUAUGAUGGCGGAGCCCUGCUGUUGAUCAGUCAAAUCUGUGUUUUGCUUUCUGGAGGUUCUGAGGUCCGGGACAGUUUCACUUUGAACCAAAAAUGUAGACACUAGCUGAAUAGGAAAAGAAAAGCAGCCACUCAGCGACUGUAGACUCCCGCAUAAGAAUGUGGUGGGUUCUGAAAGAAGUUGUCCUGCUGUGGAAUGGCCGUUACACAUAUCUCAAGGAGCAGCGUGUAAACAAAGUGUCACAUGGACUGCAAGAAGAUAGAGAAAUGUAAUGGAUCUAUACUUUAUUUAAACACGAGGGGUAAGAGAAUAGCAUAUUCACGAGUGGACAACAUGAUGUUUAUGGAUGUAGAGCUGGCUAGAAGAUUUAAAAAGUGUUUUAUUAGUUUAAAAAAAAAUACUACCCCAAACUGAAAAAAAUAUGGCAAAGUUAUUUGGAUUUUUUCCUCUAUGUUUAAUCACCUCUAAUAAAUAUCUAAUUUCACCAUUAUCUUCCCGUUUA
rnacentral:lncRNA from 1 species